AUGAAAGCCGUGGCUAACCAGCCUGUGUCAGUAGCUGUGGACGGAGGGGAUGUCAUAUUUCAACAUUACUCCGGCGGGGUAAUGACCGGCUCAUGUGGGACUGAUUUGGACCAUGGCAUAGCAGCUAUUGGAUAUGGCAUGACAAGUGACGGAACUAAGUAUUGGCUACUGAAAAACUCAUGGGGCACGACAUGGGGCGAGAGUGGGUACCUCAGAAUGGAGAAGGAUAUUUCUGACAAGAGUGGUAUGUGUGGCUUGGCCAUGCAACCUUCCUACCCCACCGAGUAG
rnacentral:rRNA from 1 species